UAGACACCAGUACAUGUUCCUGUCAGUGUAACGCUGAAUAUACCGGAAGUCGCUGUGCAACUGAGAUUUGUAAUUUACCCUCGAGUUAUUGUGGUGUAAAGGGUCAGCUUCUCACUGAUGUGUGUUCUUGUGUAUGUUUUGAUGGAUAUUCUGGUACACAGUGUCAAAUACCACCAUGUGGUCUAACAACAACAUCUUGUGGUAAUUUAGGAAGUUUAGACACCAGUACAUGUUCCUGUCAGUGUAACAGUGGAUAUACCGGAAGUCGCUGUGAAACUGAGAUUUGUAAUUUACCCUCGAGUUAUUGUGGUGUAAAGGGCCAGCUUCUUACUGAUUUGUGUUCUUGUGUUUGUUUUGAGGGAUAUUCUGGUACACAAUGUAAAAUACCACCGUGUAAUUUAGCAUCCAAUGAUUGUGGUACUGGUACUUUAAACACCACUUCCUGUUCGUGUAUUUGUUUUUCUGGUUAUGCUGGAGACAGAUGCCAAAAUCCACCAUGUGGUCUGACGGGGACAUCUUGUAAUUUUGGAAACCUGGACAGCAAUAGCUGCACCUGUAAUUGUAUUAAUGAAUAUUCCGGAACUUUUUGUGAUACGCCACCAUGUGAUUUAUCACCAACAGCAUGUACACCAUUUGGUGCUUUAGUACAGGAUACAUGCACGUGCUCUUGUAACCAAGGAUACACUGGACAAUUCUGUCAAAUUGCUCCGACACCGACGUGUAAUGUACAACCCCAGGCCUGUGGUCCUAAUGGUUUCCUAAAUAUAACACCAUGUUCCUGUGUUUGUUUAAAUGGCUAUACUGGUGAAUUCUGUACCACGGCUCCGACACCGACGUGUACCGUACAACCCCAGGUCUGUGGUUCAAAUGGUUUUCUCAAUAUAACAUCAUGUUCCUGUGUUUGUUUAAAUGGCUAUACUGGUGAAUUCUGUACCACGGGACCAUCAACGUGUAAUGUGCAACCCCAGGUCUGUAGUUCUAAUGGUUUGCUAGAUACAACAUCAUGUUCCUGUGUUUGUUUUGGUGGUUAUUCUGGUGAAUUCUGUACCACGGCACCAUGUGGUCUGACGGGGACAUCUUGUGGUAAUUUAGGAAACCUGGACAGCAAUAGCUGCACCUGUAAUUGUAUUAAUGGAUAUUCCGGAACUUUUUGUGAUACGCCCCCAACACCGACGUGUAAUGUACAACCUCAAGUUUGUGGUUCUAAUGGUUUCCUAAAUAUAACAUCAUGUUCCUGUGUUUGUUUUGGUGGCUAUACUGGUGAAUUCUGUACCACGGGACCUUCAACGUGCAAUGUGCAACCCCAGGUCUGUGGUUCUAAUGGUUUCCUAGAUACAACAUCAUGUUCCUGUGUUUGUUUUGGUGGCUAUACUGGUGAAUUCUGUACCACGGCACCCACAACGUGUACUGUACAGCCUCAAGCCUGUGGUGCUAAUGGUUUUCUCAAUAUAACAUCGUGUUCCUGUGUUUGUUUUGGUGGCUACACUGGUGAAUUCUGUACCACACCUUCGUGUAAUAAACAAGUGGAUUCAUGUUCACCGCAUGGAAUUUUGAAUACCAACAACUGUUCCUGUCAGUGUAACCAAGGUUACGUCGGUGAUACAUGUCAAACACGAAUAUGUCCUGUUGAAGCAUGUGGUAUAAAUGGUGUAUUUGACUAUGAUGAAUGUUCGUGUGUAUGUUCAAACGGUUAUACUGGACAAUUUUGUGAUAUUCCAACUCUAACAUGUGACUUGGUUUGUGUGAAUGGUGAUAUUGAUGCUACUAAUUGUAAAUGUAAUUGUCCACCAAAUUAUUCGGGUGAUAGAUGUGAAAAUGUAGUUGAUCCAUGUGACGCAAAAGACUCUAACGCAUGUCCUUACUAUCUCGUAUUACCUGGCGAAUCAGGUCUAGCACAAUGUUCCAUUAUAAGUGGUAUAUGCAGAAGGACAUGUGGGCUGUGUGAAGGAGAUGGAUGCAAUAGAACAGAUUCUGACUGGUGUUCACUUUUUAUUAAUAACUGUGGAAUAACUGCCAUGCGAAAUGCUUGUCCUAACACGUGUGGUUAUUGUUCUACAGAUGUAUAGUGGACGAUAUGCCGAGUCUCCACGCUAUACAUCAUAUAGUAGUGCUACAAAAUGGUCCUAGCUAAUUUAUUGACAAUCUGAUUAAAAUACAGAUCAUAUUUCGUUUCAUUUUUUAUAGAUCAAAAUUUCGUUUAACUUGUCUUUACUACACCCACUAGGAUCUGGAAGAGUUGUUAUACAACAAGCGUUCUAGUUGAUGUGAGCAAUUCGCCAAUGAAACGGUCUGUUACGGCAAGCUCUUGGUGUGCUCUGCACGGAACACUAAUUGAUUAAGCAGUCUGACGUCAUAGGGUCAAAAGCCGCUCGUUUGACCUGUGACGCGACCUCCCACUACAACUGGUCAGAUCUUCAUGUAGUGUAUAAAGUAACGAAACGAAAUAUAGAUCUAUAUUUUAAUUAGAUUGGUUUAUUGAUUAAA